rnacentral:rRNA from 1 species
GAUGAACGCUGGCGGCGUGCCUAAUACAUGCAAGUCGAGCGAACGGACGAGAAGCUUGCUUCUCUAAUGUUAGCGGCGGACGGGUGAGUAACACGUGGAUAACCUACCUAUAAGACUGGGAUAACUUCGGGAAACCGUAGCUAAUACCGGAUAAUAUUUUGAACCGCAUGGUUCAAAAGUGAAAGACGGUCUUGCUGUCACUUAUAGAUGGAUCCGCGCUGCAUUAGCUAGUUGGUAAGGUAACGGCUUACCAAGGCAACGAUGCAUAGCCGACCUGAGAGGGUGAUCGGCCACACUGGAACUGAGACACGGUCCAGACUCCUACGGGAGGCAGCAGUAGGGAAUCUUCCGCAAUGGGCGAAAGCCUGACGGAGCAACGCCGCGCGAGUGAUGAAGGUCUUCGGAUCGUAAAACUCUGUUAUUAGGGAAGAACAUAUGUGUAAGUAACUGUGCACAUCUUGACGGUACCUAAUCAGAAAGCCACGGCUAACUACGUG